UGGGUGAGCUGAUUCUCUUCAAAGGC
rnacentral:piRNA from 1 species